UGAAUACGAGACGCUAAGGCGUCGAAGUAGUGUAUGUCAUACUUCCAAGAAAAGCUUGCACUGUCAUAGAUAAAAAACGCCUGUACCAUAACCGACACAGGUGGGUAGGUAGAGUAUACUAAGGAGCGCGAGAUAACUCUCUCUAAGGAACUCGGCAAAAUAACUCCGUAACUUCGGGAGAAGGAGUGCCUUAUUCGUAAGGUUGCAAUAACAAGAUCCAAGCAACUGUUUAUCAAAAACACAGGUCUCCGCUAAGUCGUAAGACGAUGUAUGGGGGCUGACGCCUGCCCAGUGCCAGAAGGUUAAAGAAGUUGGUUAGCAAUUGCGAAGCUGAUAACUGAAGCCCUGGUGAACGGCGGCCGUAACUAUAACGGUCCUAAGGUAGCGAAAUUCCUUGUCGGGUAAGUUCCGACCCGCACGAAAGGCGUAAUGAUUUGGAUACUGUCUCGGAGAGGGGCUCGGUGAAAUAGACUUGUCUGUGAAGAUGCGGACUACCUGCACCAGGACAGAAAGACCCUAUGAAGCUUUACUGUAACUUGAAAUUGAAAUUGGACUUUAUUCGCGCAGUAUAGGUGGGAGGCGUUGAUUAUAAUCUUGUGGGAUUAUUGGAGCCAUCAGUGAGAUACCACUCUUGUAAUGUUAGAUUUCUAACUUUGAAUCAUUAUCUGGUCAAAGAACAGUUUCAGGCGGGCAGUUUGACUGGGGCGGUCGCCUCCUAAACGGUAACGGAGGCGUACAAAGGUUUCCUCUGAACGGUUAGAAAUCGUAUCUAGAGUGUAAAGGCAUAAGGAAGCUUGACUGUGAGACCUACAAGUCGAGCAGGGACGAAAGUCGGUCUUAGUGAUCUGACGGUACUGAGUGGAAAGGCCGUCACUCAACGGAUAAAAGUUACUCUAGGAUAACAGGCUGAUCUCCCCCAAGAGUUCACAUCGACGGGGAGGUUUGGCACCUCGAUGUCGGCUCAUCGCAUCCUGGGGCGGUAGUACGUCCCAAGGGUUGGGCUGUUCGCCCAUGAAAGCGGAACGCGAGCUGGGUUCAGAACGUCGUGAGACAGUUCGGUCCAUAUCCGGUGUAGGCGUUAGAAUAUUGAGAGGAGCCUUCUUUAGUACGAGAGGACCGAGAAGGACAUACCUCUGGUGUACCAGUUAUCGUGCCAACGGUAAACGCUGGGUAGCUAUGUAUGGAGUGGAUAACCGCUGAAAGCAUCUAAGUGGGAAGCCCACCUCAAGAUAAGUAUUCUG
rnacentral:rRNA from 1 species